rnacentral:rRNA from 1 species
GAUGAACGCUACGCGGACGAGGCUUAACACAUGCAAGUCGAGGGGCAGCGGAGGUUGUAGCUUGGCUAUAACUGCCGGCGACCGGCGCACGGGUGAGUAACACGUAUGCAACCUGCCCGUUGCAGGGGGAUAAGCGGAAGAAAUUCCGUCUAAUACCGCGUAAUAUACUUUAGGGGCAUCCUUUUAGUAUUAAAGAUUUAUCGGCAACGGAUGAGCAUGCGGCGCAUUAGCUAGUUGGUGAGGUAACGGCUCACCAAGGCAACGAUGCGUAGGGGUUCUGAGAGGAAGGUCCCCCACACUGGUACUGAGACACGGACCAG